rnacentral:rRNA from 1 species
UUCCGGUUGAUCCUGCCGGACUCCACUGCUAUCGGGGUAAGGCUAAGCCAUGCAAGUCGAAAGCCUCCGGCUCCGGGGGCCUGGCGUACGGCUGAGUAACGCGUGGCCAACCUGCCCUGCGGAGGGGGAUAACCCCGGGAAACUGGGGAUAAACCCCCAUAGGUGACCGGGUCUGGAAGGACCGGUCGCCGAAAGUCCCGGUCGGGGAUGCUCCGGCCGGGAGCCGCAGGAUGGGGCUGCGUCCUAUCAGGUAGUUGGUGGGGUAACGGCCCACCAAGCCUGUGACGGGUAGGGGCCCUGAGAGGGGGAGCCCCCAGAUGGACUCUGAGACAAGAGUCCAGGCCCUACGGGGCGCAGCAGGCGCGAAAACUCCGCAAUGGGCGAAAGCCCGACGGGGUUACCCCGAGUGCCACCCUCGUGGUGGCUUUUGCCCGCUCUAAAGAGGCGGGCGAAUAAGGGGAGGGCAAGCCGGGUGUCAGCCGCCGCGGUAAUACCCGCUCCCCGAGUGGUGGAGGCUAUUACUGGGCCUAAAGCGCCCGUAGCCGGCCCGGUGUGUCCCUCGUUAAAUCCACGGGCUUAACCCGUGGGCUGCG